GACGAACGCUGGCGGCGUGCUUAACACAUGCAAGUCGAACGGAAAGGCCCUGCUUUUGUGGGGUGCUCGAGUGGCGAACGGGUGAGUAACACGUGAGUAACCUGCCCUUGACUUUGGGAUAACUUCAGGAAACUGGGGCUAAUACCGGAUAGGAGCUCCUGCUGCAUGGUGGGGGUUGGAAAGUUUCGGCGGUUGGGGAUGGAAUCGAGGCUUAUCAGCUUGUUGGUGGGGUAGUGGCUUACCAAGGCUUUGACGGGUAGCCGGCCUGAGAGGGUGACCGGCCACAUUGGGACUGAGAUACGGCCCAGACUCCUACGGGAGGCAGCAGUGGGGAAUAUUGCACAAUGGGCGGAAGCCUGAUGCAGCAACGCCGCGUGCGGGAUGACGGCCUUCGGGUUGUAAACCGCUUUCGCCUGUGACGAAGCGUGAGUGACGGUAAUGAGUAAAGAAGCACCGGCUAACUACGUG
rnacentral:rRNA from 1 species